AACGUGGCUCCGCCACUGCAUGGAUCCAUCAUAAACAAUCCAGGGGACCGUCUAAUUAUGAUCUUUCUCAGCUCGCUAAAAAAUCUGGGUCAAUGAUCUCUCGAGCCCUGCUUUGCAGCUGAUGUUAAGACACGGGGGAAGACUAUCGAUGGCAUUGAUAUUGGUAGAAAGCAAGGUGAUUGUUUUGGAUUAGGAAAGUUUAGAAGCCAUGGCAUGAAAAGAGACAUGGAACCAACACCAAUUUAUGUAGAAUCCAUCUUCUCGGUGAAAAUGUCCUGCAGUUUUUUAUGCUUUUGACAAGGCACCAUUAGCCGAAGGCCCAAAGCUUAAAAAAUCAACCGCAGUCUAAGCUGGACAGCUGUCAUAUCGCACCAUAAAAACGUAAUCCAGAAUGCUUUCCAAACAAUUUGCAUAUAAUUACGGAACUCGAUACCCAUAGCAUAUAAGACACUACAAAGUAUGGUUAAGAAAAAGACGAUACAAAGUUUAACAUGAUUGAAAUAUAACAGUAGUUGCUGAUAUCCAAGAGUUACGCUAGAUGAUGGAAGCAUUUCUUUUGAUAUAAAUCAUGUUUUCCUCCAAUAAAACCGACCUUUUGCUGCUUUCAUGGAAUAUCUCAUUUAUGC
rnacentral:lncRNA from 1 species